UGAGGAAUUUUCUGCAAUGGGCGAAAGCCUGACAGAGCAAUACCGCGUGAAGGAUGAAGGCCUACGGGUUGUAAACUUCUUUUCUCAAGGAGGAAGAUCUGACGUUACUUGAGGAAUAAGCAUCGGCUAACCCUGUGCCAGCAGCCGCGGUAAUACAGGGGAUGCAAGUGUUAUCCGGAAUUAUUGGGCGUAAAGCGUCUGCAGGUUGAUAUCUAAGUCUUUUGUUAAAUCUCCAGGCUUAACCUGGAAUCUGCAAAGGAAACUAUUUAUCUUGAGUAUGGUAGGGGUAAAGGGAAUUUCCAGUGGAGCGGUGAAAUGCGUAGAUAUUGGAAAGAACACCAACAGCGAAGGCACUUUACUGGGCCAGUACUGACACUCAGAGACGAAAGCUAGGGGAGCAAACGGG
rnacentral:rRNA from 1 species